AGAGCAGACCUUAUGUGUUUGUUUACUGAUCAUGCUGUUAGUUAAAUCCUUAGACUGGCUAAUCUGUGACAAUGAGUCUGUGGGAUGGGGACUGCAACAACAACAGUACCACUGUGCCUCUCUCCUCAUGCCCAUUUAUUUAACUGGCAUGCUCAGUACCGGACUCUCAGAAAUCUAUAAGUCUUUUUGAUUGUUAAUCCGGUUCCUGCUUCCUCCUUCACCGAUGAAUGAGAGGCUUGUCUGCAACACUGGUGCCGAAACCCGGGACUGGAAGAAGACGCACCGUCAGAGAGCCCUCGCCGCUGAUGGAGGAUCAUGACGCCGAGAAGAGGAGUGGUUCAACGGUACUGGAGCUGUCCGCCAGGAGAUGGAGGAGCCACUGCCAUCCACCAGGAAGUGGAGGAGCCAUUGCCAUCCGCCAGGGGAUGGAGUCACCACUGCCAUCGCCGGAGGAACCGCUGCCAUCCGCAAGGAAGCGGAGGGCCCGCUGCCAUCCGCCAGGGGGACGGAGGAGCUGCUGCCGGCCACCAGGAGGUGGAAUCCACUGCCAUCGCCUGGCGUUGUGGAGGAUUGCUGGACAGCUGGCUGAGGACCGAAUGGCGGCGUGGUCGGGAACCAGAGUUUUUUUUUCUUUUCUUUCUUCUCUCUCUCCCCCGCUAUCUUUCUCUCUCCAUUCCCCUCAUCCUACCCAGGUACCCAGGAGGUGGGGAAGACCAGCCGGUGACAGAAUGGCCAAAGGGCAACUCCUCCCCUCCAGGAAGGGAGGGGAGUAAGUCAGACCAGAGGUUUCCCCGGCCUGAAUCGGGCGGUGGGGGUAUGUGACGAAGAGGAGGGUGUGGCCGGGCUGAGAAGAUUCAUGCCCGACGCUGAGCUGCCCAAUCAGCAGAAGAGAGAUAAAAGGAGGAGCCGGGAACGCCAGAGAGAGAGAGAGAGAGAGAGACGCACGCAGCAGUGUUUUGUGUGUGCACUUUUGUUAUGUUUCAGUUCAGUGUUUUAUGUUGAAUUCAAGUCUUUAUGAUUGUUAAUCCGGUUUCUACUUCCUCCUUUCCGGAUGAACGAGAGGCUUGUCUGCCACAAAUUGCCAGUGUGUCUCACGCUGCUUUUCACCCAUUCUGUUUCUGAUGAGCUCACUGCACUGCACGCAUCAACAAACCCAGCACGAGAGAGUCGUGAACAAAUGACUCUUUUGAAUCGGAUCUUUUUCAUCAGUCACCCAAAAUGAACUGAGGGUUUGAACUCAGGAGCCCAGGUUAGCAGUUUGAAUCAGAUUCACUUUCUCAGAGAUUUCGCCAUCAGUGAGUGCACAACUGAGAGCGAAGACAUUUCAGAAUAAGAGUCCCAUGUGUAUUUCAGGCUUCUGUAUAAUUAAAAGUCCUGUAUUGUGUACCAUUUUUUUUCUUCUGGUAAUUACUGAUUGGGAUUGGAGUAGCACAAUAAACUGCAUCUGGGAUUUCAUUCAA